UUGACGGGUGCACGAUGCGCGCGGUUUGUGUGUGUGUGUGUGCCAUGCUGUGUUCUGCAAUGCUUCGUUACCACGUUUAUCGAUUAUGCACGUUGGUUACUUGAUUCAAUGUCAAGUGUACCUUCCAAGACGAUCUAGGUCCUAGUCUCGUGACUGAAGGCGAGUGCGGACGUACAGCAGCCUUUUGACAAGACUGUCGCCGAGUGUACGGUACAUUGUGGACUGUAAAGCUGAAGAGUGCACAGUGGAUGCCUGAUUUUGGAACCGAGUGUGAUCGUCUGGGCGGUGUGUUCACUCUGCGGGGAUGAUGGCCAGAGGAAGGAUGAUAGACAGACGACAGCUUGCAGACGAAGAUGGGAGCGUUCUACCUGUGAGCCUGGUCGAGCUUAUAUUUUAUGGUAGGCAUUUGUUUCAAUCUUUACAAAGAGCUUCGACAUGUUGCGCCUGCUCAUGAACCUAUUGCAACUUUUUUGAGGGAAUUCUAAGAUCAAAGAAACAAGACCCUAGACGUAACUCCAUUAAUGUAUACUUGAUGCUGGACUUGACCUUCUGUGUUGUUUUCCUGUUUUCUUACAGGAUUUGCUGAAAGUUUCUAUUGGAAAUGCGAUAUAAGAUGCAAUUUUGACUAACUCUAACUUCACAAAAGUGCUUUUUGUCAACUACCUGCACGGGGCCUUGGCAGUACAUCUAAGUGUUCUAAGGUGCACGAUGUGUUGGAUAAAGUUUUCUUUGCAACUCUUAUAUAUUUACUGCGAUCUUUCGUGCAGGAUACACAUGCAUGGAUACACAUACAUGGAUUCCCUACAAGGACCCUGCGCAUCAAAAGCAAUCUGUCAUCAAUGUUAAGUAGACAGAUUAAACGAAACGAAGAUAUGACAGGUGUACACCAUAUUUUUCUUUCAUUUAACCUCUGCAUGUUUCCCAGUCAAUAAAUGUUUUUAUCCAUUUUCUUUUGUUGAGAAAUGUCUUUGUACAGCACAAGUGUCGUAGAAGGUGCAUACAUGCACUUUUGUAUGAUGCUUGGCUGCAUGUGUAUCAACCAGCAAACACAU